rnacentral:pre_miRNA from 1 species
CAACCUCCGCAGGCUGGCUGGCCUUCAGGCCGGGCUGGGUGAGUAUCUCUUCAAAAAGCUCACCCCGCAGCACAACUUGGAGC